AGUCGCUCGGUUUGAGCUCAAAUAAAUGCGAGGAUUCCUGGGCUCGGAGCAGUCGGCCGCCUCCCUCCGCGCGCUGGACGCUCCGCCGCCGCCCGCCCGCCGGCCGCACAGCAGGAACCCCUGCCUCAAGAUCAGCUCAACACCAGCUGUGAUCGUGUUUUGGAGAUUCGGGACCCUAUUUCCAAAGGAGAGUUGCGGGGGACAAGUUUCUGUUUGUUAUUUUCAAAACCAAGCAAAGGAAACAGCAGCCAAUUAAAAUGACAUAUUUUUAUUCGC